ensembl:lncRNA
CAGUAAGAGAGUAAGCCUGACAGUAAGGGAGAGCACGGUUGACAGUAAAGGAGAGUAAGGUUGACAGUAAGGUUGACAGUAAGAUUGACAGUAAGGGAGAGGAAGGUUGACAGUAAGGUUGAGGAAGGUUGACAGUAAGGUUGAGUGUAAGAGAGAGCAAGGGAGAGUAAGGUUGACAGUAAGGGAUAGGAAGGUUGACAGUAAGGUUGAGUGUAAGAGAGAGCAAGGGAGAGUAAUGUUGACAGUAAGGUUGACAGUUAGAGAGAGUAAGGUUGACAGUAAGGGAGAGUAAGGUUGACAGUAAGGUUGACAGUUAGAGAGAGUAAGGUUGACAGUAAGGGAGAGUAAGGUUGACAGUAAGGUUGACAGUUAGAGAGAGUAAGGUUGACAGUAAGGGAGAGUAAGGUUGACAGUAAGGUUGACAGUUAGAGAGAGUAAGGUUGACAGUAAGGGAGAGUAAGGUUGACAGUAAGGUUGACAGUUAGAGAGAGUAAGGUUGACAGUAAGGGAGAGUAAGGUUGACAGUAAGGUUGACAGUAAGAGAGAGAGUAAGAUUGACAGUAAGGGAGAGGAAGGUUGACAGUAAGGUUGACAGUAAGAGAGAGUAAGGUUGACAGUAAGGUUGAGAGUAAGAGAGAGUAAAGUUGAGAGUAAGUUUGACAGUAAGGUUGACAGUAAGAGAGAGUAAGGUUGACAGUAAGGUUGAGAGUAAGAGAGAGUAAAGUUGAGAGUAAGGUUGACAGUAAGGGAGAGGAAGGUUGACAGUAAGGGAGAGUAAGUUUGACAGUAAGAUUGAGAGUAAUAGAGAGUAAAGAUGAGAGUAAGGUUGACAGUAUGGUUGAAAGUAAGAGAGCGUAAGAGAGAGUAAAGUUGAGCGUAAGGUUGAGCGUAAGGUUGACAGUAAGGUUGACAGUAAGGUUGAGAGUAAGAGAGAGUAAAGUUGAGAGUAAGGUUGACAGUAAGGUUGAGAAUAAGAGAGAGUAAAGUUGACAGUAAGGUUGACAGUAAGGUUGACAGUAAGGUUGAGAGUAAGAGAGAGUAAAGUUGAGAGUAAGGUUGAGAGUAAAGUUGAGAGUAAGAGAGAGUAAAGUUGAGAGUAAGGUUGACAGUAAGGUUGAGAAUAAGAGAGAGUAAAGUUGAGAGUAAGGUUGACAGUAAAGUUGACAGUAAGGUUGCAAGUAAAGUUGAGAGUAAG